rnacentral:rRNA from 1 species
AGAGUUUGAUCCUGGCUCAGGAUGAACGCUAGCGGCAGGCUUAACACAUGCAAGUCGAAGGGCAACGGGGAGAGUGCUUGCACUCUCUGCCGGCGACUGGCGCACGGGUGAGUAACACGUAUGCAACCUGCCCUCCACAGGGGGACAACCUUCCGAAAGGGAGGCUAAUCCCGCGUAUAUCCCUUGGGGGCAUCCUUGGGGGAGGAAAGGAUUACCGGUGGAGGAUGGGCAUGCGGCGCAUUAGGCAGUAGGCGGGGUAACGGCCCACCUAACCGACGAUGCGUAGGGGUUCUGAGAGGAAGGUCCCCACACUGGUACUGAGACACGGACCAGACUCCUACGGGAGGCAGCAGUGAGGAAUAUUGGUCAAUGGGCGGGAGCCUGAACCAGCCAAGCCGCGUGAAGGAAGAAGGCGCCAAGCGUCGUAAACUUCUUUUGUCGGGGAACAAAGGGCGCCACGUGUGGCGUUGUGAGUGUACCCGAAGAAAAAGCAUCGGCUAACUCCGUGCCAGCAGCCGCGGUAAUACGGAGGAUGCGAGCGUUAUCCGGAUUUAUUGGGUUUAAAGGGUGCGUAGGCGGUCCGGAAAGUCAGCGGUAAAAGCCCGGGGCUCAACCCCGGCGAGCCGUUGAAACUGUCGGACUAGAGACGGCGAGAAGUACGCGGAAUGCGCGGUGUAGCGGUGAAAUGCAUAGAUAUCGCGCAGAACUCCGAUUGCGAAGGCAGCGUACCGGCGCCGGACUGACGCUGAGGCACGAAAGCGUGGGUAUCGAACAGGAUUAGAUACCCUGGUAGUCCACGCAGUAAACGAUGAAUGCCGGCUGUCCGGCCCGGAAAAGGGCUGGGUGGCGAAGCGAAAGCGAUAAGCAUUCCACCUGGGGAGUACGCCGGCAACGGUGAAACUCAAAGGAAUUGACGGGGCCCGCACAAGCGGAGGAACAUGUGGUUUAAUUCGAUGAUACGCGAGGAACCUUACCCGGGCUCAAACGGGAGACGACAGGGGCGGAGACGCCCUCUUCCACGGACGUCUUCCGAGGUGCUGCAUGGUUGUCGUCAGCUCGUGCCGUGAGGUGUCGGCUUAAGUGCCAUAACGAGCGCAACCCCUGCCGACAGUUGCUAACGGGUAGAGCCGAGGACUCUGUCGGGACUGCCGGCGCAAGCCGCGAGGAAGGCGGGGAUGACGUCAAAUCAGCACGGCCCUUACGUCCGGGGCGACACACGUGUUACAAUGGCCGGUACAGCGGGAAGCCAGGCGGCGACGCCGAGCGGAACCCGAAAACCGGUCUCAGUUCGGAUCGGAGUCUGCAACCCGACUCCGUGAAGCUGGAUUCGCUAGUAAUCGCGCAUCAGCCAUGGCGCGGUGAAUACGUUCCCGGGCCUUGUACACACCGCCCGUCAAGCCAUGGGAGCCGGGGGUGCUUGAAGUGCGUCGCCGCGAGGCGCGCCCUAGAGCAAAACCGGUGACUGGGGCUAAGUCGUAACAAGGUAGCCGUACCGGAAGGUGCGGCUG